rnacentral:lncRNA from 1 species
UUCUCACAACUCUAGUUUAAGUUCUCCAUCUUCCACAUCCCUCUGAUUCCACUAAAAAGCCUUGAACUCACGGUGGGUACUGAGGCUGGUGAUCACGACAGGCAUUUUUUCCCCUCGCCGUGGCUAGGUGCAGUCAACAUCCCUCUGUGUCUCUUUUCUCAAGUUCUAGUAUCCUUCGCCUGUGGUGAAGCUUACGCGUCUGCCUGAUUGAUUUGUACCGCACAGAGCUGCCCAGAACGCCGCCUUGACAGACGGUGAACACCCCCAUGGACAGGGCCAACGUCGUCUGACCCAACUGUAGUUCAUUCAAGACGAUUUUGGUGAGCACCGUAACCUAGCAUGGUCACUGAUACUCUCCGUGCUUUACGUUUGAAUGCUACCGAGUGGAAGAGGUGGGAACGGCUCGUCGGAGUUUCGGUUUUCGCCACCGCCGUGGCUAGAAAUGAUCUCGAGCGCUUGAGGCCGAUUGAGCGGGAAAACGUUGGGAGGUGAUUUCGGGGGUCACGUUGUUGUACCCAGGUUCGUCGAAGAGGGUCCUCGACGGCGAGCCCAAUCCUGGGUGGCUGGCGGUGAGGUUUUCGCCGUCGUGGACCGGCGUUUGUAAAUAAGGGAGGAGGCAGGGACAUCAGUGCUCAUGUCAGUGAGAGGGGAGAAUAAUGUUUGAUCUCGUAACUAAUUAAUCAGGGCGGCAGGGGUUUCUGCGCAAAAACGCACAGCGCGAGCGCGGGCGGACGGCGCGGGGCCGGUUUCUCUGCUGUUAGUGGGCCGCACGGGUUGGUUUCGGCCCAGUCUCUGUUAGAACGUUGUCUUUUUCUUUUAGCUGCCAACUUGUAAAAUGCACAAAAAAUACAGUAAAAUGUAAAAAUUGUGAAACCAAUUUUAUUGAGUUCACAAAAUUAUGUAGUUUCUGCUCGAAACAUUUCUAGGAUUUUUACGGCAAUAAUUAAAUUUUUGAGUAUUUAAGUGCUUCUAGAAAGCUUAAAUGAAUUUUAGAAAUAAAACCAGAGCACCAAAAACUAUGAAAAUUUGUAGAAAGAUUAUAUAACCAUAGAAUAGCUUCUAGUAAAAUUUUGAAUUUGUUUGGAAUUGAUUUACUUAGAGAACCAGAAACAAGAUAAGUAGACAUAAUUGAAACCUUAACUCUUGGUGCAAAUUUAGGAUUAAAUCAAACUUGAGCCAUACUUAAUGUUAAACUAUAACUUGGUCAAGUAGAACUUGAAGAAUUCUCUGAUUUCUCUAACGGGGCGUUUGGAUUCCUUCAUUUUAGAGGAAUUGGAAUUCACUCAAUAAAGUAACUUAUUUAGUUUGGAAUUUGACAUUCCACCGCUUUCCAAAGUUCAUAUAUUAGUAUAUCUCAAAUUCAUGAGGUGGAGGAUGGGAAAUGGUUUUAUGCAUGAGUAGAAUUUGUUUCUACUCUAUAACUUACAUGACACUCUUUGUCUCACACUACUCUAUAGUAAACAUGUAGCACAUAAAUAUCUCCGACAUCUUGGUAAUAAUAGUAUACAAAUAUAUUUUAUAUAAAAUCGAAUUAUCUUAAUUAUUAUAUGCCUAAAUUACUAUUAUUAGAAUGAAAUUCAAUUCUAAUGAUCCAAACGAGACGUAAAGUAAGUUUAUUAUGAUCCCUUUAGAUAAAGAUUAUACUACCUAGAAACAUGAGUAUAAGUGUCUUGUGCUUAACUUAGAGUCUAUAAGCUUUCUACCUCUCCCCAAGCGAGAAUUUGCAUAGCAUAUCAUUACAUAAGCAUUCAUAUACUUCGAAUUGACUUGUAGAGCACCUUGAAGAAGAAUUUAAAGUGGAAGUUGGAAGGGGAGCCUGUUCCUCCAUCUGAAACUUCUCCAACUGAGGUUAUCACUGAAGGUCAUCCGGAAGGUGCCCCAUUUGGAUUUGCUGCUAAUUAUAAUAUCCUGGUAGAAGAACCCAACUCUCCUCCUCACCAAGGCAAGCCCCGGUGCAUUUGCCCCUUCCUUGUAUUUUUAAAAGAUUUUUAUACACUUUAAAUCUAGUGAAAUGUGCAUUAAGUUUAUAGGAGUUGCUUGGAAACUAUUGGAUGCAUUGACUACCUUGAUAUCCAUUCCUGUUAUAGGUACUUCUUUGGAAGUAUCAAAUAUUGUUUACCAAAAUGCUUAGACCUGCUUAGAUCUUGUGGAUAGAGGUUGUCUUUUGCAAUAAUGCCUAGCUCAGGGGUUAUCCUGAGGAAGGAUGACUUCUACCUGCAAGAAUAUUUUCAUUGGGAGCAUGGUGGGAUCUUACUGCAAAGUUCCCUAUAAUGCUCUUUUCAUCCUAAGGAACACAAAACAAUCCUAAGGAUGGAAGUACUUAAAUCGUGACUUGGGCUAGGAACAGGUGAUCCUCCACCCAGGUUAAUUAAGGAUUGGAUGCGUAUGUAGGCUUGUAUGCUAUCUUAACUGGCCACAUGCCCUGGAUAUGGGACAGGGUAAGCUUGAACCCGGCUAUUCCAUACAUGAAAAGACAAUUGCGCACUCGGAGUGGAGAGAUGGCGAGAGUGGCACGUACCCUCCUGGCAAAGGACCGCCUAAAAGGGGUGGUGUGCUCUCGGGUGGCGCGGACCUGUUCAUGCAGUGGAGGAUCCGUGGGAAUGGUAGACAUAUGCAAGAGUCACGAGAAACAUAUGUCGUGUGGUUAGAGAUCCUCAGCUGAGUAAAUCGAUUCAGAUCGCCAUUAUAUCCCCAGAUAGUGGAGACUUGAUCUCCGACCUACAACCUAAGUCAGGAUGUAAACAUUAUGAGUAAAAAUGAUGUUGUAUUGAUGAGAUGGUGAAAUUAGACUAGAUGCAACCAGAUUCUAUUAAUAUUUAAUCUGGCGUUAAAGUAUUGAAAGUAAGGACUCACUUUAGUAAGCUAUUUCUGCAAAAGUAUCUAAGUUGAUUCUUGCUAAAGCCUUUUCCUUGAUUCCUAUUUAACCAGCAUAUCCUUGAGAGUCAUUUUCCUUAGUCGGGUAAGACUUGCGAAAGUAUACUCCGUACUCAGGGUUUUCGAACCCAUGUUGUUGUAGGUGAUGAGGAGUACUCUAAGUGUUCCUGUGGCUAGAGGGCGUUUCCAGUUCUAGAGGAGGAUUUGUUAGGCUUGUGUAUAAGCUUUGGAGGGUUCCUACCUUCCUGCUAUGGUAAUAAGAUAUGCACUUUAAGUAUAUCAGGACUUGUAAUAAAUGUAACUCUUCCUAUGUAAUAACCUUCAGUUUUAGAAAUGAAAAGAAUGUUUUGUAAAGUCUUCCGCUCUUAUCUCCGAAGUGUGUGUAUCUAAUGUUGAUUACUGUAAUAUGCAUGUAUGGUGGGAGAUCCUUGGGAUAAUGAGUUCAAGUUGUUGAACUCGUGAUAGCCUUGUUAAGUUACCAGGUACACGUGCAUAGCCAUCUGAGGCCAUCAAGGCAAGAAUUGGUGCACGUGGGCCCGAUAACUUGGGAGGGCUGCCACAGCGAACACAACACGACAGCGUGCAAACAGUGCGCGAACACGCUGAAAGUCGCCUAGAGGGGGGUGAAUAGGAAAAUCUAAAAUUUAUAAACUUUAAGCACAACUACAAGCCGGGGUUAGCGUUAGAAAUAAAGUCAAGUCUGAAAGAGAGGGCGAAAACAAAUCACAAGCAAAUGAAAGCGGAUGACACAUUGAUUUGUUUUACCGAGGUUCGGUUCUUGCAAACCUACUCCCCAUUGAGGUGGUCACAAAGACCGGGUCUCUUUCAACCCUUUCCCUCUCUCAAACGGUCACCUAGACCGAGUGAGCUUUUCUCCUUAAUCAACGGGUCACUUAGACCCCUUACAAGGACCACCACAACUUGGUGUCUCUUGCUUGAUUACAAGUUGCUUGAGAACAAGAAUGGAGGAAGAAGAAAAGCGAUCCAAGCGACAAGAACUCAAAUGAACACGAAUAUCUCUGUCUCACUAGCCACUAAGUGUUUGGAGUGAAUUUGGACUUGGAGAGGAUUUGAUCUCUUGAUUUGUGUCUUGGAGUGAAGUCUAGAGCUCUUGUAUUGAAUGCAAUGGCUGAAAACUUGGAUGCCUUGAAGUGUGGUGGUUGGGGGGUAUUUAUAGCCUCAACCACCAAAAUGGCCGUUGGGGAGGCUGUUAGUCGAUGGGCGCACCGGACACUGUCCAGUGCGCCAGCCACGUCACCCAACCGUUAGGGUUCGACCGUUGGAGCUCUGACAGCCUGGGCCACCGGACAGUCACUGUUCACUGUCCGGUGCGCCAUCUGGCGCCUGCUCUGACUCUGCGCGAACUGUCCGCGCACUGUAGCGCACUGUUCACCUUUUGCAGACGACCGUUGGCGCUGUAGCCGUUGCUCCGCAUGGCACACCGAACAGUCCGAUGAAUUAUAGCGGAGUGGCUUUUCUAGAAACCCGAAGGUGGCGAGUUCGAGUUGAUCCACCCUGGUGCACCGGACACUGUCCGGUGCGCCAGACCAAGGAAGCCUUCAGUUUCUUUUGCUCAUUUCUUUUUGAACCCUAUCUUGGACUUUUUAUUGGUUUGUGUUGAGUCUUUGGCACCUGUAGAACUUAUAAUCUAGAGCAAACUAGUUAGUCCAAUUAUUUGUGUUGGGCAAUUCAACCACCAAAAUCAUUUAGAAAAAGGUUUGAGCCUAUUUCCCUUUCAAUCUCCCCCUUUUUGGUGAUUGAUGCCAACACAAACCAAAGCAAAUAUAUAAGUGCAUAAUUGAACUAGUUUGCAUAAGGUAAGUGCAAAGGUUGCUUGGAGUUAAACCAAUUUAAACUUUCAUAAGAUAUGCAUGGAUUGCUUUCUUUCUUUUAACAUUUUGGACCACGCUUGCACCACUUGUUUUGUUUUUGCAAAUGUUUUUGGAAAUUAUUUUUCACAGUCUUUUUGCAAAUAGUAAAAGGUAAAUGAAUAAGAUUUCAAGAAGCAUUUUCAAGAUUUGAAAUUUUCUCCCCCUGUUUCAAAUGCUUUUCCUUUGACUAAACAAAACUCCCCCUGGAUGAAAUUCUUCUCUUAGUGUUCAAGAGGGUUUUACAAAUUGAGAGAAUGUCAGAUACUUUAGAUACCAAAUUUUGAAAAACUCCUUAAAAUAUAGAUAUAGUUUGAGAUAGAAUUUCUUAGAGGAAUACUAAUUUCAAAGAUACCAAUUGAAGAACAUUUAAAAACUUGUUUCGAAAAAUUUUGAAAUUGGCGUGGUGGUGCGGUCCUUUUGCUUUGGGCUAAUACUCUCUCCCCCUUUGGCAUUAAUGGCCAAAAACGGAGUCUUUAGAGCCCUUUUACUUUCUCCCCAAUGGUACAAAUAAAUAUGAGUGAAGAUUAUACCAAAGUGAAGAGCGAUGCGGAGUGACGGCGAAGGGUAAUUAAUACGAUGGAGUGGAGUGGAAGUCUUGUCUUCGCCGAAGACUCCAUUUCCCUUUCAAUCUAUGACUUAGCAUAAGAAUACACUUGAAAACACAUUAGUCAUAGCACAUGAAAGAGAUAUGAUCAAAGGUAUAUAAAUGAGCUAAGUGUGCAAAGUAUCAAUCAAAAUUCUGAGAAUCAAGAAUGUUUAGCUCAUUCCUAAGUUUGGUAAAGGUUUUCUCAUCUAAUGGUUUGGUAAAGAUAUCGGCUAGUUGUUCUUUGGUGCUAACAUAAGCAAUCUCGAUAUCCCCCUUUGUUGGUGAUCCCUCAAAAAGUGAUACCGAAUGGCUAUGUGUUUAGUGCAGCUGUGCUCAACGGGAUUAUCCGCCAUGCGGAUUGCACUCUCAUUAUCACAUAGGAGAGGGACUUUGGUUAAUUUGUAGCCAUAGUCCCUAAGGGUUUGCCUCAUCCAAAGCAAUUGCGUGCAACAAUGGCCUGCGACAAUGUACUCGGCUUCGGCGGUAGAAAGAGCUACUGAAUUUUGUUUCUUUGAAACCCAAGACACCAGGGAUCUUCCCAAGAACUGACAAGUCCCUGAUGUGCUCUUUCUAUCAAUUUUACACCCUACCCAAUCAGCAUCUGAAUAACCUAUUAAAUCAAAGGUGGAUCCCUUGGGGUACCAAAGACCAAACUUAGGUGUAUGAACUAAAUAUCUCAAGAUUCGUUUUACGACCCUAAGGUGAACUUCCUUAGGAUCGGCUUGGAAUCUUGCACACAUGCAUACGGAAAGCAUAAUAUCCGGUCGAGAAGCACAUAAAUAGAGUAAAGAUCCUAUCAUCGACCGGUAUACCUUUUGAUCUACGUAUUUACCUCCCGUGUCGAGAUCGAGAUGCCCAUUGGUUCCCAUGGGUGUCUUGAUGGGCUUGGCAUCCUUCAUUCCAAACUUAGUGAGUAUGUCUUGAAUGUACUUCGUUUGACUGAUGAAGGUGCCCUCUUGGAGUUGCUUCACUUGAAAUCCUAAGAAAUACUUAAACUCCCCUAUCAUCAACAUCUCGAAUUUUUGAAUCAUUAUCCUACUAAACUCUUCACAAGUAGAUUUGUUAGUAGACCCAAAUAUGAUAUCAUCAACAUAAAUUUGGCAUACAAACAAAUCAUUUGCAAUAGUUUUAGUAAAGAGAGUAGGAUCGGCUUUGCCGACUUUGAAGCCAUUAGUGAUAAGGAAAUCUCUUAGGCAUUCAUACCAUGCUCUUGGGGCUUGCUUGAGCCCAUAAAGCGCCUUAGAGAGUUUAUACACAUGGUUAGGGUACUCACUAUCUUCAAAACCGGGAGGUUGCUCAACAUAGACCUCUUCCUUGAUUUGUCCAUUGAGGAAGGCACUUUUCACGUCCAUUUGGUAAAGCUUAAAGCCAUGGUAAGUAGCAUAUGCAAGUAAUAUGCGAAUUGACUCAAGCCUAGCUACGGGUGCAUAGGUUUCACCGAAAUCCAAACCUUCGACUUGAGAAUAUCCCUUGGCCACAAGUCGGGCUUUGUUCCUUGUCACCACACCAUGCUCAUCUUGCUUGUUGCGGAAGACCCACUUGGUUCCUACAACAUUUUGGUUAGGACAUGGAACAAGAUGCCAUACCUCAUUCCUCGUGAAGUUGUUGAGUUCCUCUUGCAUUACCAACACCCAAUCCAAAUCUCUUAAUGCAUCUUCCAUCCUGUAUGGCUCAAUAGAAGACACAAAAGAGUAAUGUUCACAAAAAUGUGCGACACGAGAUCGAGUGGUUACCCCCUUAUGAAUAUCGCCGAGGAUGGAGUUCACGGGGUGAUCUCGUUGUAUCGCUUGGUGGACUCUUGGGUGUGGCGGUCUUUGACUUUGAUCAUCUUCCUUGUCUUGAUCAACUUCAUCUCCCCCUUGAUCGUUGUCCUCCUCUUGAGGUGGCUCUUCUUGAUCUUCAUUUUCAUCAUCUUGAGCUUGGUCCUCAUCUUGAGUUGGUGGAGAUGCUUGCAUGGAAGAUGACGGUUGAUCUUGUGCUUGUGUGGGCUCUUCGGAUUCCUUAGGACACACAUCCGCAAUGGACAUGUUCCUUAGUGCGACACAUGGAGCCUCUUCAUCAUCUAUCUCAUCAAGAUCAACUUGCUCUACUUGAGAUCCAUUAGUCUCAUCAAACACAAUGUCACAAGAAACUUUAACUAGCCCCGUGGACUUGUUGAAGACUCUAUAUGCCCUUGUGUUUGAGUCAUAACCAAGUAAAAAGCCUUCUACAGCCUUAGGAGCAAAUUUAGAUUUUCUACCUCUUUUAACAAGAAUAAAACAUUGGCUACCAAAGACUCUAAAAUAUGAAACAUUGGGCUUUUUACCGGUUAGGAGUUCAUAUGAUGUCUUCUAGAGGAUUCGGUGAAGGUAGAGUCGGUUGAUGGCAUAACAAGCGGUGUUGAUUGCUUCCGCCCAAAACCAGUCUGAAGUCUUGUAUUCAUCAAGCAUGGUCCCUGCCAUGUCAAGUAGAGUUCUAUUCUUUCUCUCCACUACACCAUUUUGUUGAGGUGUGUAGGGAGAAGAGAACUCAUGCUUGAUGCCCUCAUCCUCAAGAAAGCAUUCAAUUUGAGAGUUCUUGAACUCUGUCCCAUUGUCGCUUCUAAUCUUUUUGAUCCUUAAGCUGAACUCAUUUUGAGCCCGUCUCAAGAAUCCCUUUCAGGUUUCUUGGGUUUGAGAUUUAUCCUGCAAAAAGAACACCCAAGUGAAGCGAGAAUAAUCAUCCACAAUUACAAGACAAUACUUACUCUCGCCGAUGCUUAUGUAAGCGAUCGGGCCGAAUAGAUCCAUGUGGAGUAGCUCAAGCGGCCUGUCGGUUGUCAUGAUGUUCUUGUGUGGAUGAUGAACACCAACUUGCUUCCCUGCUUGACAUGCUCUACAAACCCUGUCUUUCUCAAAAUGAACAUUUGUUAGUCCCAUAAUGUGCUCUCCCUUUAGAAGCUUGUGAAGAUUCUUCAUCCCAACAUGGGCUAGUCGACGAUGCCAGAGCCAACCCAUAUUAGUCUUAUCAAUUAAGCAAGUAUCAAGUUUAGCUCUAUUAAAAUCAACUAAGUAUAGCUGACCCUCUAAUACUCCCUUAAAUGCUACUGAAUCAUCACUUCUUCUAAAGACAGUAACACCUAUAUCCGUAAAAAGACAAUUGUAGCCCAUUUUGCAUAAUUGAGAAACAGAAAGAAAAUUGUAAUCUAAAGAAUCUACAAGAAAAACAUUGGAAAUAGAAUGGUCAGGUGAUAUAACAAUUUUACCAAGUCCUUUGACCAAACCUUGAUUUCCAUCCCCGAAUGUGAUAGCUCUUUGGGGAUCUUGGUUUUUCUCAUAGGAGGAGAACAUUCUUUUCUCCCUAGUCAUGUGGUUUGUGCACCCGCUAUCAUUGAUCCAACUUGAGCCCCCGGAUGCAUAAACCUACAAAACAAGUUUAGGCCUUAUUCUUAGGUACCCAAAUGGUCUUGGGUCCUUUCACAUUAGAAACAAGCACCUUGGGUACCCAAACACAAGUCUUGGAGCCCUUGUGUUUGCCCCUAAUAUAUUUGGCAACUACUUUGCCUGAUUUGUUAGUUAAAACAUAAGAAGCAUCAAAAGUCUUAAAUGAAACAUUAGGUUCAUUUGAUGCAAUAGGAGAUUUUUUUAGGCAAUUUAACAUGAGUGGAUUGCCGAGAACUAGAUGCCUCACUCUUAUACAUAAAAGCAUGAUGAGAGCCAGAGUGAGACUUCCUAGAAUGAAUUCUCCUAAUCUUAUGCUCGGGAUAACUAGCAGGAUAUAAAAUAUAACCCUCGUUAUCCUAAACCAUGGGAGCUUUUCCCUUAACAAAGUUAGACAAUUUUUUAGGGGCAUUAAGCUUGACAUUGUCUCCCUGUUGGAAGCCAAUGCCAUCCUUAAUGCCAGGGCGUCUCCCACUAUAGAGCAUACUUCUAGCAAAUUUAAAAUUUUCAUUUUCUAAGUCAUGCUCAUCAAUUUUAGCACUAAGUUGAGCUAUGUGAUCAUUUUGUUGUUUAAUUAAAGCUAGGUGAUCAUGGAUAGCAUCAACAUUAAUGUCUCUAUAUCUAGUACAAAUGGAAACAUGGCUAACAGUAGAUGUAGAGGGUUUACAAGCAUUUAAUUCAUCAAUCUUAGCAUGUAACAUGGCAUUCUCAUUUCUAAGAUUGGAAAUAGAAUCAUUGCAAACAUUUAAGUCCUUAGCCUUAGCAAUUAAAUUAUCAUUUUCAAUCUUAAGGCUAGAAAGAGAUUCAUUCAACUUGUCAAUUUUAGCAAUCAAACUAGUAUUAUCAUUUUUAAGGUUGACCAGAGAAUCAUCACAAACAUUUGAUUUCUCAAUCUUAGCAAUUAAUUUUGCAUUCUCAUUUCUAAGGUUGGAUAUAGUAUCAUGGCAAAUGCUAAGCUCACUAGUCAAUUUUUCACAUUUUUCUAUUUCCUGAGCAUAAGCAUUUUUAACCUUAACAUGCUUCUUGUUUUCUUUAAUAAGGAAGUCCUGUUGGCUAUCCAAGAGUUCAUCCUUCUCAUGAAUAGCACUAAUUAAUUCAUUCAAUUUUUCUUUUUGUUGCAUGUUAAGAUUGGCAAAAAGUGUGAGCAAAUCAUCCUCAUCAUCACUAGAGCUAGCCUCAUCACUAGAUGUUGCAUAUUUAGUAGAAGCUCUAGAUUUUACCUUCUUCUUUUUACCAUCCUUUGCCAUGAGACACUUGUGGCCGACGUUGGGGAAGAGAAGGCCUUUGUUGAUGGCGAUGUUGGUGGCAUCCUCGUCGGAGGAGGAGUCGGUCGUGCUUUCGUCGGAAUCCCAUUCUCGACAUACGUGGGCAUCGCCGCCCUUCUUCUUGUAGUACCUCUUCUUUUCCCUCCUCCUUCCCUUCUUGUCGUCGCCCCUGUCACUGUCACUUGAUAUAGGACAUUUAGCUAUAAAGUGACCGGGCUUACCACACUUGUAGCAAACCUUCUUGGAACGGGGUUUGUAGUCUCUCCCCUUCCUUUGCUUGAGGAUUUGGCGAAAGCUCUUGAUGAUGAGCGCCAUCUUCUCGUUGUCGAGCUUGGAGGCGUUGAUGGGGAGCCUACUUGACAUAGACUCUUCUUUCUUCUCCUCCGUCGCUUUGAAGGCGACAGGUUGCACCUCGGGUGUGGAGGUGGCGUCUCGCUCGAUGAUUUGUUUGGAGCCUUUGAUCAUCAAUUCAAAGCUCACAAACUUUUCUAUAACUUCCUUGGGAGACAUUAGCUUAUCUCUAAGAUCACCACGAAUUAAUUGAACUUGAGUAGGAUUAAUAAAAACAAGUGAUCUUAGAAUAACCUUGACCAUUUCAUGGUCAUCCCAUUUUGUGCUCCCGAGGUUGCGCACUUGAUUCACCAAGGUCUUGAGCCGGUUGUACAUGGCUUGUGGCUCCUCCCCUUGGUUGAGCAUGAAUCGACCGAGCUCCCCCUCGAUCGUUUCCCGCUUGGUGAUCUUGGUCACCUCAUCUCCUUCGUGCGCGAUCUUGAGCACAUCCCAAAUCUCUUUGGCACUCUUCAACCCUUGCACCUUAUUAUACUCCUCUCGAUUUAGAGAGGCGAAGAGUAUAGUAGUGGCUUGGGAGUUGAAGUGCCGAAUUUGGUCAACCUCCUCCGAAUCAUAGUCCUUGUCCCUUUUCUUCGGUACAUGCGCUCCAUACUCAACAAUAUCUCAUAUGCUUUUGUGGAGUGAGGUUAGGUGAUGCCUCAUUUUAUCACUCCACAUAGAAUAAUCUUCACCUUCAAAAAUCGGUGGUUUGCCUAAUGGGAUGGAAAGUAAUGGAGUGCGUUUUGAAAUACGAGGAUAGCGGAGGGGCAUCUUACUAUACUUCUUGCGCUCAUGGCGCUUAGAAGUGACGGACGUCGAUUCGGAGCCGGAUGUGGAGGGUGACGAAGAGUCGGUCUCGUAGUAGACCACUUUCUUCAUCUUCUUCUUCUUGUCAACUCUCCGUUGUGACUUGAUGGAGGAAGAGGAUUCCUCCUUGUGCUUGUGGCUGGACUCCCUUGAGUGGCUUCUCCCCGAGCUUGCGGACUAGUCGCCGCCGGUCCCGAUCUCCCUCUUGGCGGAUGCUCCCGACAUCAGUUCGAGUGGUUAGACUCUAAUGAAGCACUAGGCUCUUAUAACAAUUGAAAGUCGCCUAAAGGGGGGGUGAAUAGGCAAAUCUGAAAUUUAUAAACAUUAAGCAGAACUACAAGCCGGGGUUAGCGUUAGAAAUAAAGUCGAGUCCGAAAGAGAGGGCGAAAACAAAUCACAAGCAAAUGAAAGCGGAUGACAUGGUGAUUUGUUUUACCGAGGUUUGGUUCUUGCAAACCUACUCCCCGUUGAGGUGGUCACAAAGACCGGGUCUCUUUCAACCCUUUCCCUCUCUCAAACGGUCACCUAGACCGAGUGAGCUUUUCUCCUUAAUCAACGGGUCACUUAGACCCCUUACAAGGACCACCACAACUUGGUGUCUCUUGCUUGAUUACAAGUUGCUUGAGAACAAGAAUGGAGGAAGAAGAAAAGCGAUCCAAGCGACAAGAACUCAAAUGAACAUGAAUAUCUCUGUCUCACUAGCCACUAAGUGUUUGGAGUGAAUUUGGACUUGGAGAGGAUUUGAUCUCUUGAUUUGUGUCUUGGAGUGAAGUCUAGAGCUCUUGUAUUGAAUGCAAUGGCUGAAAACUUGGAUGCCUUGAAGUGUGGUGGUUGGGGGUAUUUAUAGCCUCAACCACCAAAAUGGCCGUUGGGGAGGCUGUCAGUCGAUAGGCGCACCGGACACUGUCCGGUGCGCCAGCCACGUCACCCAACCGUUAGUGUUCGACCGUUAGAGUUCUGACAGUCUGGGCUACCGGACAGUCCGGUGUGCCUUCUGGCAUCUGCUCUGACUCUGCGCGAACUGUCCGCGCACUGUAGCGCACUGUUCACCUUUUGCAGACGACCAUUGGCGCUGUAGCCAUUGCUCCGCAUGGCACACCGGACAGUCCGGUGAAUUAUAGCGGAGUGGCUUUUCCAGAAACCCGAAGGUGGCGAGUUCGAGUUGAUCCACCCUGGUGCACCGGACACUGUCCGGUGCGCCAGACCAGGGCAGUCUUCGGUUUCUUUUGCUCCUUUUUUUUGAACCCUAUCUUGGACUUUUUAUUGGUUUGUGUUGAAUCUUUGGCACCUGUAGAACUUAUAAUCUAGAGAAAACUAGUUAGUCCAAUUAUUUGUGUUGGGCAAUUCAACCACCAAAAUCAUUUAGAAAAAGGUUUGAGCCUAUUUCCCUUUCACACGCGCGACAGGUGAGAAAACUAAAUAGGUGACACGCUUAUACUAAACAAAUGUUAAAUAAAUAGAAAGUAGUUAAGUUAAUAUUUACCAUGUUAAUAUUUAUUAUAAAAUCUCAAGUGGAACACUACACAUUUAAUCUAGUUAGAAUAUUAAUCUAAUAAAUAUUAGUGAAACGAACUUUAAGUUAAUUAUCUAAAAUAUAUAACAUGAUGAAUUAACCUUACUAACAUGAGUGUUUAUAAGCGAAAAACAAUUUAUUAUCACAUGCAGACGUCGCGCGACACACGCAAACAGCGCGUGCGACACUCGCGAACGACACGCGACAACAUGCGUGAAACAGCAUUGCGGCACGCGAGACAAUGCGCACGACAGCGCGCGACACACGUGAGUCAACGCGACUACACGCAAACGAUGUCGUGCGCGAACAACAACAAACAAAUAAUUAAUUACAGGUAUUUAAGCUGGUAUUAAUCAAGUUAAUUAACAUUUAUAUUUAUAAAAGCUCGAGUUAAAAACUACAACAUAGUUUUAGUUACAAGGUCGUUUUUUAAUAACUAUAUAAUACCGAAUCGGUAGAUAAUUAAUUAAUCAAUUAAACUUGCGACAUGACUAGAUAACAUUACUACUACAAAAUCGACGUUGCUACAGAGUUGACGCGACUGAAGCGAAUAAAAAAGGGUUUAUGGCGCAUUAUAUAUUGAAUAGCUAACAAUUUAUGGCUAAUAAACAAUUUUAUUAAAGUGCUCGAAUCACGACUCGCGCGAACGACGACACGUGAACAACAUGCGCGAACGUCGUGCGGAUAGAACAUGCGAGAAUUACUAACUAAAUGUUGUUUUUAUACUAAACACUAAAUAAAUAUUAAAUACAACAUCUAAGUUGUUAAAAUCACAUUACCACAUAUUUACAAUCGCAUAACUAAAAUCAUAAUUUUGAUCCGAUUGAAUAUUCAAUUUAAUGACCGCCAACUAAGUAGGAAAUUAAUUAUCGCAGGGGGAUAGACGCGGGAUUCUCACCUUGCGACGACGGCGGACGGUGAGGCAAGUCGACGACGUGCUGUGCGCACGACGUACAACACGAGCGACGGUGAGGCUGCAGCUACGCCACAUAGACUGCACCAGGGUUGCCAUGGGCACAUCGCGUAGGCUACGCCGAGCGAGCCAUGGCGUAGCUGCCGCGGGCAAGCUGCGCAGGCUGCCAUGGGAAAGCCGCGAAGGCCGCCGCGCAAGGCCGCGAACAGCCGCGUCGGGAGUACAGGGCUACACUACGGGCGACCAGGCUGCAUCGGAGGGAGCGCAGGGGGCGGAGUAGGCUGGCCAUGGCUGCUCGACUGCCGGGAUUGGAAGGGGAGGGAGGAAAAAAAGGUAGACGACGAGGAGGCGAAGAUGGGCAGCACGGCACCAACGGAUGGCACGAUGGCGGAGGUGAGCGGCGUGCUGGCCGUUUUCCUGGCUCAAGGCAGGAUGUGGGGAGACGGGGCGCAGUUUUGCGCGAGAGAUGGGCAAAGGGGCACGUCGUGCGGCGUUUGUGGGCAGGCCAUGCAGCGCAUGCAAACAGCAUUCAAGGGAGCAGUUUUCCGGGUUUUUUUGGGUCGUGGGCGCUGCUCAUGCUGCAUGUGCGGCUGGGCGACCGAGCGAGCGUGGACGGCAGCGGGGAAUGGGCCACGCGCGCGCAUGGGUCAGGGGCGCGGAGGCAGCGGCUGGGGCGCGCUGGGCUACGCGGGCGCCACACGCUGGGCCGUGGAGGGGCGCGAGGCGGCCUGGGCAAGGGUGGGCUGCGCGCGAGAGGUGGGCCGAGGGGGCGUGUUGCGCUGGUGCGGCUGCCUGGGCUGAGGUGGGCCACGCGCGCGCUGCUGGGCAGCGGUUGCGCGUGGGCCGGGGCAGGCCAACGGAGUGGCGCUGGGCCGCGGGAGGGGAGCUGGCACUGGGUGGGCUGGUAGGGGGAAAGGGGAGGAAAGGGUUUUCGCUUUUCUCUAUUUUCCUUAUUUCUUUUGCUAUUGUGUAUUUAGGUCUUGGUUUAUAAAUUUUGAAAUUCAAAUGAACUUUGAGAAUUUUGAAUGAGUGCCAAGUCACCACAUAUGAACAUACCAAGGAGACUGCUAUUCCGACUGGCUAUGUAACAAACAAUGCCCCUGUAGGGUUUUACUAUACUAGGCUUACACAUCAAUAUAAAAAAUAAUUCUUCACUAUUUAGAAAAAGAAAAGAAAAGCGAGGAAUGAGAGGGUAACACCUGACGAGUAUGUGGAGUCUGUGAAGUCGCAUGUGGUGUCUACUGAGCAGGAUGUUGCGCCCCUCCAGGAUGAGCUGGUGUACCCUAGGGUGGAACAUAGCGAGGACAGAUGCUACUGCUCCCCUACCCCUGGGUGAUAGCCUUCCUCUUCAUCUUGCCCAGCUGAACACGUUUGUGUUCAACAACUAUAGCCUUGUCGAGAAGCCUCUGGAAAGAUGGGAAGGUGUGAGAUACCAGUUGAUACUGAAGUGGCCCAACAAGUCCCUCCAUGAAAUGCUCCUGCUUCCUUUCAUCAUCAGCAACCUCAUUUGGAGCAUACCUUGUUAGCUGAAUAAAUUUAUCAUGAUAUUCACUUACUGACAUGUUGCCUUGCUUCAGUGAUAAGAAUUCCUUCUUCUUUAUUUUCAUCAGGCCAGCAGGAAUAUGGUAGUUUCUGAAUUGUGUAGAAAAUUCUACACAGGUAAUAGUGUUGGUAGCAGCAUGGGCAGCAAUGUAGGAGUCCCAAUAAUCAGCAGCGGGGCUAGUGAGAUGAUCCGAAGCAUAGAGCACCUUCUCCCGAUCAGUGCAUUGAGCGAUAUUAAGCAUCUUCUCCACUGAUUUCAGUCAAUCAUCAUCAUGUAGAGGAUCUAUAGAGCUGGAGAAUGUAGGUGGCUUGUGACUCAUGAAUUCUCGGUGCUUGUCCCAGGGUGGAGCUGGUGGUGGUGGUGGAAGUAGUGGUGGUUGUUGCUGCAGUUCCAAUCGUUCUUGCCUCAUCUCUUCUCGCAUCUCCUGCCGUUCCUGACACAUCUCCUGGCAUUCUUGCCUCAUCUGAGCUUGCAUUUCAUUCAUCGUGUUUGCUAUCUGCUGUAGCAGCUGCAUCUGAGCGGCAGCCACUGGAUCUGUCCCAACCGGUGGAGGGUUUGGUGGAGAACUCAUCUCUGGUUGCGGUUGGUUGAUAAUCCUCCAGCUAUGGUGGUUGGCAGGUAGAUCAAUUCUGCCUCCCUUCCUGGUAUUGACCAUCUGAGUUAGAAACACGUGGUAAGAUAGAAUUGUAGAGAAGACAAGUCAUUACGAGACAUGAUCUUUUGGGGGUUUUAUUAGCUCAGUUUAUUAGUGUGUCACCUACUAAUACUAAUAUAUUACCUUAUGGUGGUACAUGCUAGAAUGCCCUGCUAUACUAUUUCAGUCAAUCAAAGAAGCAAAUCAUGCAUUUAUCAUCAGAACAAACAUCCAAACACUUUAUAUAUAUAUAUAUAUAUAUAUAUAUAUAUAUAUAUAUAUAUGUGUGUGUGUGUGUGUGUGUGUGUGUGUGUGUCUUAGGUCUCCUAUCUCUUUAAGAGGUCUUAGAUGUAGGAUUGUAAGGUGUGGAAUCCUUCUUUUCUUUCUAGAGUAGAAAAGAUAAGAAUAGUCAGAGUAAAACAACAAAAGGUGAGACAGGAUCAAGAUAAGUAUAGAAAGAAUCAGAGUAAAGGUUAAGUAGGUAAGAGUUUUGUCCAGUUCUAUCUAGGUUUCAUCGUACAGUCAACAUUUGCUCUGAUACCAAUUCUAUCACACCCGGAAUUAAGGGAUAAAGCCAGGUGCGUCUCAUAUGUGUACCAAAGAAGAACAUCACAUAUAAUGACAAAGUGUAUAGAGAUAAAUGUCACAAUCAUUAUUACAUAGCGGAAGAGUCUUACAAAAAUAAAUGAUAACAAUAAAACGAACUAAAUAAUUAUUCCUUGAGACCAUCAAGCUGACUGGGAGACGCCACCUAGAUUAGCUCAUACUCCUCAUUGUAGGCCUCCUCCUGGACCACUUGUUCUUCUCCUGUGGGGGGGUUAUAUAUCACAAGGGUUAGCUCACAAAAGAUCAUAGCUCAACAAGUUGUGGGGAAUAAUAUGCAUGAACUCAUCAAAGGUGGGAGUUCAUGUGGAGUGUAUGGCUGAUCAACAAAUAAUGGUUAAAGUUGUGCAUUGCUUUUAAUAAGUUGGUCAAAUUUUAUUAGUAGUUACUACAUGUAAGUAUAUACCGAACCAGAGUAAUAAUAUAUCAAAAUUGAUAAUAAACCACAAUACGAUGUAAAUGACCAGUUACAUUUAAUUCCAUAAGUUACUCAUGUGAGGGUCCAAGCCGCUCAUGACUGUUAGCACGGCUGAUAUAGUAAUUUUACACUCUAUAGAGGUUGCACAUCUUUACCCACAAGUCGUGUUACCCAUAUGCCAAGGGGUCAUGAAUCUCAUACACCUCUACCAAGGAAGCAAGGCAGGGUAACACUAUGAGGCCUUUACAAAGUUCCACUAGCUUCAGAAAACCCGUUAUAGUUUCUAGGGAGCGCAGCAUAGGAAUCCCUCGUCUGAAAAGCCAUCACAACAAAAUCAACCCGAGAACCUCCCGAUACCAACCACUCCCCUACUACCCUUACCCCUUUGGGGUAAGGUAGUCCUCCACUAGCUUUCCUAAUUAGUCAACCAAGGGUGUCCCAUACCACCCUUGUGGUAGCACUGUUUUCCUGGGUGGUCGCUCCAUGUUCCAAUUAACAUAAUGAUCUUGUCAUGAACAGUAAAUAACAAAUUGAUAAUAACAGCAUGAUCAUGAAUAAUGUGUAUCUUAACACCCAAAACCACAUAAAGCAAUAGAAGGUACUACCCAAAAAUUCAGUGGUAAACAUGGUAUAAAGAUAGCUAAACUAGGGUGACCUAUUGGGUCCCAUCAAAUUUGAUCUAUGCAGAUCAUAAUGAUUAACAGGAACAUUAUUGGGUAAAUAGAAGUCAUCAAGGGCACAACUUGCCUUCAACGAGCUCCUGCUCAACAGUUUCCACCUGCUGAGCUUCUGAGUCCUCAGUCACUUGCCCGUCUACUCGCAACAAUACAAGAAAACAUGGUACAUGAGAAAUUAACAUCACGCCAAACAUGAGAACAACUUGCAUCAUAAUAUUCUACGCAUCGUAACGAGAUCGUAGGUUUGUCACACCCAGGUUUUAGCGACCCGGGCGCGAACAUAAUCACCAGGUGUGCUAGGACCAAGUCUCACACAUAUGAUGAAUCAUGGUACGAAACGAAUGUUACAACUUUACUAUAUAAUAGGAGUUUCUAUACAAAAUAAAUAAAUAAUUACAUCAUAAGGAGACAACGAUCCAGCAACCCAAAGUUGACUGGGAGAUGACGGCCUAGACCUCUCACAAACACAUCACAACAUCUUUCAUGUUGGGGACUUGUUCUCAAAUGCUAUGAGUUAAGAACAAGGCAACUCAAAAAUGUUAAUGGUCAAAGACCUUCGUCCUUCGAAGCAUUAUCUCCCUUAGGAUAUAAUGAUCUUCAGACGAAGGUUAUGAAGGACAUACCUUAAUCAUCUCAGUAUGUAAUAAUGAAAGUAGGAACAUAAGAAACAUAGAAAAUAACAUGAAUAAUCACAUUAAAUCAUCAUAUUAUUCAUAUACUCAUUAUCCAAUCAUGGACAAAUAUUAACAACAGUAAAUUACAUUUGUACCUUCGGCUUGACAGAAGGUAAGAAAUCAAAUGCGACGUGCGAGUGAAAACAAGUCAGCGUGAACAGUACGGGGGUAUUGUUCAUCUAUUUAUAGGCAUGGGAUGCAGCCCGAACAAAAUUACAUUUGUGUCCUUGAUAACUAAUCACAACCAUGACACAAGUUAUCAUGGACUAAAUGGUCUUUUAAUCUUUAAGUCGGUGCUGCCCUUUGUCUUAAGGCACGUCGUCAUGCCGAAGCUCCCUGAAUUGUAGCUUCGGCUUAUACCUUCAUGUUGUGUCUGCUUGCAUAUCACCCUACCGAAGGUGUUUUUGCUUGGAGGACCUUCGGCGAAGAAGAAGGCCCCCAACACUUCAUGCACCUCAUCCUGCGGUACCUGUUCUUGACCUGUGGGGGGGUGUGAGACAGCAAGGGUGAGCUCACAUACGUUCAUAGCUCAACAAGUUGUGGGGAAUAAUGUGCAUGAACUCGCCAAAGGUGGGAGCUCAUGUGAAGUGUAAGGCUUACCAAAGAGAAUGGUUAAAGCUGAGCAUUGCUUUUAAAGUUGGUCAAAAUUUUAUUAGCAAUUACUAAAUGUAAGUAAAUACCAAACCAUAAUAAUAAUAGAACAAAAUUAAUAAUGAAUCCCAUGCAAUGCAAAUGAAAAAUUGAAUUUAGUUCCAUAAUUUAAUCAUGCGAGAGUCUUGACCUGCUCAUGACCGUGAGCACGGCUAGUAUACCAGUUUUACACUCUGCAGAGGUUGUACCCUGUACCCACAAGUCCUGUAUCCCAUGUCACCACGGUUUGCAAGGCCCUUAGACACUUCCGAGGUGAAUGGCUAGGGAUCCACUACAAGGCCUUUACAAAGUUCCACUAGCUUCCGAAAACCCGCUACAGUUUCUAAGAAGAACAAUGUAGGAAUCCCUCAUCUGACCGCCAUCAUAGACAACCUCCCUACAAGCCUACUCCCCUACUGCCCUUGCCCCUUUCAGGUAAGGUAGUCUUGCACUAGCUUUCCUAAUUAGUCAGCCAAGGGUGUCCCAUUUCACCCUUGUGGUGGCACGUGUUUCUCAAGUUAAGCUCCAUGUUCCAAUUAAAAAUAAUGAUCUUGACAUCAAUUAUAAAUAAAAUAAAAGAAUAAUUGGAACAUGGACAUAAUGUAAUAUUAAACCCAAAAUCAUAUAAAGCAAUAUCAAAAGUACCCAAAUAGUUCAGGGGUAAACAAGGUAACAAGAUAUCCAAACUAGCGUGACCUAUUGGGUCCCAUCAAAAUUAAGCCUAUGCAUGAAUAAGUGAUAAUAAAGAACAUUAUUGGGUAAAUAGAAGUGGUCAAGGGCACAACUUGCCUGGGACUUGAGAUUCCAUGUACCAGGAUGAUCCUCAGAUUCUCGUGACCUCACUGCUAGUCGUAGCAAUACAGACAAACAUGGUAUAGGCAAAAGUAACAUCACAUCAAACAUAAGUACAAACUGAAUAAUAAUGAUCUACGCGAUGCUACGAGAUCGUGGGAAUGAGAAUCACUAAAUUCGGAGUUACGGUUAUAAAGUUAUGGUUUAUGGAAGAUCUACGUGAUUUAAAUAUUAAACUAUAUUAUGAAUUGAUUAGGGUACACCAUAUGAGAGAAUAUUUUAUAAAUAGUUAACUCAACUUUAAUCUAAGUCAUUACUUUAUUAUAAAUCAUCUUUUAGGCCAAAGAUAACCCUAAGAUCAUGAUACUAUAUUAAUAUUAGACUAGGUAUAUGCCCGUGCAUUGCUACGGAAUCAAUAUGAUAAAAUCCAUAGAUAUGUAAAAACACUAAUUGUUAUUCUAUAUUCUUGCUAGCAUCACUCAUAUUGGAUGUUUACAUACUUAAAAGAUAUAACAAAGUGUCUGUUCAUUGCUAUAGAGAUGAGUGUGAAAGUGGUUUCAAGGAAACAACCAUACAAUGCAAUACUAAAAUAGAAAAUAACAAUUAAAAAUCUACAACAAAACAUAACGUAAAGAUAAAUAAUGUAUGAAACAUGCCAUCGUGGAAUAACAUCUUUACUCUUUGACUCUUUGUUGAUGGUUCCAAGUGCAGGAGUACUUGGAGAACUGAUCCUAAGUCUCUGACCAUCAGAAAGACGCACUACCGUCGAUCAGUUUCAACGAUGCAG